AUGAACGCUGGCGGCGUGCCUAAUACAUGCAAGUCGAGCGAACAGAUGAGGAGCUUGCUCCUCUGACGUUAGCGGCGGACGGGUGAGUAACACGUGGAUAACCUACCAAUAAGACUGGGAUAACUUCGGGAAACCGGAGCUAAUACCGGAUAAUAUAUUGAACCGCAUGGUUCAAUAGUGAAAGACGGUUUUGCUGUCACUUAUAGAUGGAUCCGCGCCGCAUUAGCUAGUUGGUAAGGUAACGGCUUACCAAGGCAACGAUGCGUAGCCGACCUGAGAGGGUGAUCGGCCACACUGGAACUGAGACACGGUCCAGACUCCUACGGGAGGCAGCAGUAGGGAAUCUUCCGCAAUGGGCGAAAGCCUGACGGAGCAACGCCGCGUGAGUGAUGAAGGUCUUCGGAUCGUAAAACUCUGUUAUUAGGGAAGAACAAAUGUGUAAGUAACUAUGCACGUCUUGACAGUACCUAAUCAGAAAGCCACGGCUAACUACGUG
rnacentral:rRNA from 1 species